ensembl:lncRNA
AGCCAUGUGUUUUCUAACUGCCAUGCUUCUCUAAGUGGUGUGCAUACCUAAUUCUGUGAUAGUGAACAUCUCUGUUAGCCUAAAAAUGUUUGAAGUCUCAUCUGUUCUGCUUAAUAUUUUCUCUUUGUCUCCCUUCUGUCCAUUUUUCAGGAUGAGGAACAAAUAGCAUUUGUUCAUGCUAUUCUGAUUAACUUUCACUGGCUUAUUUAAUUCAUUAACGAUUGAGCUUCUGCGUGCCAGGUGUGUUUUAGGUACUGUUGAUAAAUAAUGAAAUAAAACAAGGUUCCCUGCUCUCAGGUUAAAAGGUCUGAAACAGUGGUUGCAUAUUUAAGGUAGCUAAGGGGACUUCCUUCACAGUCCAGUGGUUAAGAUUCCGUGCUUCCACCUCCGGGGGAGCUCAGGUUCCAUCCUUUUUUUUUUUUUUAAGGAAAAACUAGGAAGCCGACUGUGAGGAGGUUGGUCUUCAUGACAAAAACAAUAGGAAGUUGGUUUAUUUGGUAGGAUGGUAAUUCUAUUUUGAAAUACCUGGCUACAGAGUAAGCAAAGUGAAGGAGUUAAUGAGUAAGUUGGAUGAAAGGAUGCUGUAUUUCAGUAAGCCAUGAUAGUAGAGUGGUUGUACUAGCUUGGACUAGAGUGAUGUUAGAAACCUCAACAAUUUGAAAGACUUUGUGGGUAAAACAGCCUGGUCUUGGUGAGGAAAAAGGUAGUAUCAAAGAAUCCAAAGUUGUUCCCUUGCAUAACUACAAAAGCAAAGUGAUAUGUAGAAAGUUUUAAAACCAGCCUUUCAUGAUGGGGAGGCAGGAGUGUUCUAAAAAAGUGUAUGUUUUAAAAAACCAUGCUUUCUUGAUGGGGAGGCAGGAGUGCUAGUGGAACCCUCUUGGAUUUUGAUAUGAAGUGGACCUAAAAGAAGAAGCUGUAUAGGAGAGUGUAAUUUAGACUCGUGCCUUUUAAUUUCCAAAAGAGUAUAUAGAAUGAUUUAUGUACUGUGUUUUAACACAAAAAAGCAUGCUGUGCCCAUUGUAGAAAGUACAGAUAAUCCCACAGAAUGAACUUGACAGUGUAACCCAUGGAUGAUUUCUAUAAACAGCUUGGUGGGUGUGGGGGUGUGUUUUCCUUCAUAAUUGUUUUAAUGAAGACAGACCACUUAACACUGUUUGUCAAGUGUUUAUUGAGCACCUGUGUGCCCCAGGCCCUGUUCUUGAGGAUACAUGAGCAAGAAGUUCCUUAGUAAAUAAGAUGUAAAAGAAGAUAAUACAAAGCAACUGAGUGGCAACUUUAGAGACUGUUCCCCAGUCACCUAGAGUUGACAUGGGACAUAGGAGCACUCCAGUCAGAGGGACCAACUAAUGUAAAGCCUACGAAAUUAGAAAAGUGGAGAGGGUAAUGAGAAGCUGCUGCUGCUAAGUCGCUUGUCGUGUCUGACUCUGUGCGACCCCGUAGACGGCAGCCCACCAGGCUCCCCUGUCCCUGGGAUUCUUCAGGCAAGAACACUGGAGUGGGUUGCCAUUUCCUUCUCCAAUGCAUAAAAGUGAAAGUGAAGUUGCUCAGUCGUGUCCAACUCUUAGCUACCACAUGGACUGCAGCCUACCAGGCUCCUCUAUCCAUGGAUUUUCCAGGCAAGAGUACUGGAGUGGGGUGCCAUUGCCUUCUCUGAUGAGAAGCUGGGAUAGGUGGAAUUGGGGUUCAAGGGGUGGCAAAGUGGUAAGAGGUGAACUAGACUGGAUCAUGUAAGCAGCCCACAUACUGAGUUUAUUUGGAGAAACUAAUUGCUACAUAUAUACUAUACUAACCUAAAGCAGUCUACAGAUUCAGUGCAGUCUGUUUCAAGAUUCCAAUGGCAUUUUCCACAAAAUAGGAUUUAAAAAAAAAAAUCCUAAAACUUGUUUAGUAAGUAAGCAUUAGUCACUCAGUCAUGUCCAACUCUGUGACUCCAUGGACUACAUAGCCUGCCAGCCUCUGUCCGUGGAAUUCCCCAGUCAAGAGUACUGGAGUGGGUUGCCAUUUCCUUCAAUUGCAACAUGAAGCCAUUAAUUAUGAAGACAGUUAAUCAUGUGAGUGAUACGCUGUGUACAGGUUAGGUAGGAGGUUAAGAAUGGAAACUGGAGGCUGUUGUGAUAUCUGAGGGGGAGGGAAAUAGAUUUAGGUUAUUUUUUGGCAGCUGACAUUAGGUGUCUGAAAGGAAUUGAGGCAAGUUCUAAAUAGCAUAAGUAUACAAAUCGAUAAAAACUAACCAGUAAAAUAGAUAUCUUUACACCCAUUUUCAUCUCUCAAAAUUGAGUUUUCUCCAAUAUCUGACCUAAUAUUUAGGCAAACCCAGGUGUAGUUAUCUUUUAUGGACAAUGAGACGGAGGCUCAUAAAGUGUAUAUAGUUACACAAGCAUGAAGUAAUUUGAAAUACUGGAUUAGCUAAAAGUGUUGCUCUGCUUCAAAAAGUAAUUUUAGAAAAAAGAUGAGUUUUAAGCAGUGAGAGUUUAAACUUUGCAGUGAAUUUUACUCUGGCUUUAUUUUACAAAAUUGAAAAAUAUCAGUUUCCAGCAUGAGUAGGCCUAAAAUUAACGAUCCUUUAAUCAGGAACUACAACAUUCAGGAAGUUCAGCAUUAAUUAAAGUAAUGAGGCAGGGUGUAGACUUGGAACAGAAACUAAAUACCUGUUAAAUACUGUGAGAAAAUUUUUGAGGACCUAUUAUUUUAUUUAGGUUACUACAACUUACUCUGAUAAUCUGAUUUUCCUUUAUUUUUAAAGAGGUGAACUAAAGCUUGGAGAGGUGAAAACAAAGCUCUACUUGACAUGUAGCAAUGAGGAUAGUGACCUGGAAUAGAAAACAGAUGUGAGACAUUUCAGUUGGAAUGUGGCUUACCAGGAAGGAUUAGUGAUGUUUCAAAGCAAGCAGUGAAAUUACCAAUAUGUGUGAAGGCAGUGAGAAAGAUUUGUACAGCAGUUAGUGAAUAUUAGCAUCUUCUUUGGUGGCACAGACAGUUAAGAAUCUGCUUGCAGUGGUGAUGCAGGA